UACGUAGGGGGCAAGCGUUGUCCGGAUUUACUGGGUGUAAAGGGAGCGUAGGCGGGAAUGCAAGUUGAAUGUGAAAUGUAUCGGCUCAACCGGUACCUGCGUUCAAAACUGCAUUUCUUGAGUGGGGUAGAGGCAGGCGGAAUUCCUAGUGUAGCGGUGAAAUGCGUAGAUAUUAGGAGGAACACCAGUGGCGAAGGCGGCCUGCUGGGCCCUAACUGACGCUGAGGCUCGAAAGCGUGGGGAGCAAACAGG
rnacentral:rRNA from 1 species